ACUCCUGCGGGAGGCAGCAGUGGGGAAUAUUGCACAAUGGGCGCAAGCCUGAUGCAGCCAUGCCGCGUGUAUGAAGAAGGCCUUCGGGUUGUAAAGUACUUUCAGCGGGGAGGAAGGCGAUAAGGUUAAUAACCUUGUCGAUUGACGUUACCCGCAGAAGAAGCACCGGCUAACUCCGUGCCAGCAGCCGCGGUAAUACGGAGGGUGCAAGCGUUAAUCGGAAUUACUGGGCGUAAAGCGCACGCAGGCGGUCUGUCAAGUCGGAUGUGAAAUCCCCAGGCUCAACCUGGGAACUGCAUUCGAAACUGGCAGGCUAGAGUCUUGUAGAGGGGGGUAGAAUUCCAGGUGUAGCGGUGAAAUGCGUAGAGAUCUGGAGGAAUACCGGUGGCGAAGGCGGCCCCCUGGACAAAGACUGACGCUCAGGUGCGAAAGCGUGGGGAGCAAACAGGAUUAGAAACCCGUGUAGUCCCAUGAU
rnacentral:rRNA from 1 species